rfam:Salmo salar isolate Sally breed double haploid chromosome ssa23, whole genome shotgun sequence.
AAUGCACCAAUUUGUAAGUCGCUCUGGAUAAGAGCGUCUGCUAAAUGGCUUAAA